rnacentral:rRNA from 1 species
GUGGUAUCCUGUCUGAAUAUGGGGGGACCAUCCUCCAAGGCUAAAUACUCCUGACUGACCGAUAGUGAACCAGUACCGUGAGGGAAAGGCGAAAAGAACCCCGGCGAGGGGAGUGAAAAAGAACCUGAAACCGUGUACGUACAAGCAGUGGGAGCCCCACCACUAAGCCAGUGGUGAACUCCACAUACGCAUCCUUUGCUGAGGAUACGGUUAACGGAGCGAAAGCGACGUUCAACCGCAAAAGAAGCAGAGGGGGCUUAGUGGUGGGGUGACUGCGUACCUUUUGUAUAAUGGGUCAGCGACUUAUAUUCUGUAGCAAGGUUAACCGAAUAGGGGAGCCGGAGGGAAACCGAGUCUUAAUUGGGCGUUAAGUUGCAGGGUAUAGACCCGAAACCCGGUGAUCUAGCCAUGGGCAGGUUGAAGGUUGGGUAACACUAACUGGAGGACCGAACCGACUAAUGUUGAAAAAUUAGCGGAUGACCUGUGGCUGGGGGUGAAAGGCCAAUCAAACCGGGAGAUAGCUGGUUCUCCCCGAAAGCUAUUUAGGUAGCGCCUCGUGAAUUCAUCUCCGGGGGUAGAGCACUGUUUCGGCUAGGGGGCCAUCCCGGCUUACCAACCCGAUGCAAACUGCGAAUACCGGAGAAUGUUAUCACGGGAGACACACGGCGGGUGCUAACGUCCGUCGUGAAGAGGGAAACAACCCAGACCGCCAGCUAAGGUCCCAAAGUCAUGGUUAAGUGGGAAACGAUGUGGGAAGGCCCAGACAGCCAGGAUGUUGGCUUAGAAGCAGCCAUCAUUUAAAGAAAGCGUAAUAGCUCACUGGUCGAGUCGGCCUGCGCGGAAGAUGUAACGGGGCUAAACCAUG